rnacentral:pre_miRNA from 1 species
AGGGCCCUUCCGGAGGGCCCCCCCUCAAAUCCUGUCGUGUAUAGUGCAGAGGGUUGGGUGGAGGCUUUCCUGAAGGGCUC